rnacentral:lncRNA from 1 species
AGGAAACUUAAGCUAGAAAGUCAUGGAUCUUGGCCAUCCCCUUGGAUAGGACCAUUAUUCUGACGCUACUUUCUCUGAUGAUUUGAUUCUCCAGUGGAGAAACCUUGCCUCCUGCUUGAGCUGCCAGUGCCUGGCAUCCCCAGACCUCUCCUUUCUCUUCUUUUUAGCCUCACCGCUGUCUUUGACUCAUGGUCUAAAGUCUUCUGCCUGAUUCCCACUCCUGGGCAUCUCACUGGUGACUACAAGGCCUUUUCACCACGUCAAAGGCUGAGUUGAGAGUCUGAUCAGCCAGACUGAUUCCAGACAAUAGAGUUGGGAGUUCUAGGCUUCCCACAGGCCUCUGUCAGCAUCGGGCUCGGUUCAGAUGUCUGCCUGUGAAGGCUGGGCUUUGUGCUGGGAUCUGUGGAAAUUAGAAGCAGAACCAAACCCAACUGCUGCUUUCAUGGAACGUCUCCCAGGAGGGGGAGGAGGAUGGGCAUUCCUCAAAUAGCCGUACAAAUGAUACAUAGUUACAAACUGAGGUGAGUUCUGUGGACCAAAGUGCUAGCGCUGAGCUGGAUACAAUCAGAGGACCGGAAAAGACCAAGUGACAAGAAGCAGAGAAAGGAGGGCCGUGACCAUGCUGUGAUGCUGUGACGUGUGUGGUGUGCCGUGAUGAUGUGUGUGACAUGACAGGAGAUGGGAUGAUGCCACAAACAGCUUGAGGACUUUCAUACAGGGGUCGUCUGCCACAUUAAGGAUCCUGUCUCAAAGCUGAAAUCAUAGGAUGGCUGCAAGCAAAUGAAUGCUCCUGAGAAAUAGUGCUGUUUAAAAAAAACAAAAACAAAACCAAAAACAAAAUAACCCAGACCGGGCUUGCCUGGCUUGCUUUACUCGGUUUUUCCACACUUAGUCUAUGUAAACACCCUGGGUCCGGGCACUGGACCAUCUUGAGCCAGUUCACCAGCUCGUCCCUUCUCUACAAAGUGUUGUCGCUGAUGGAAACCUCAGUGGUUGGAAGCUUGUGGUCUUUUACUUUGUAGAGGGGGAGUGCCAAGCAGUUUAUUGCUCAGAUGCCGCUCUCCCGACCAACGGACCGGACCGACCAACUGAUGAAGCGCUGGCGCUUGCAUUCCAAAUUCUGCAGGCAAUAAAUACUGCAGAUCCCAGCCAGGAGGUGGGGCAUAAGGCCAUC